UCGAUGAUCAACACUGGCUUCAUCUCCAUUCUACUUCUAAUUGUUUAUUAGCAGCUCUUUCCCGUUCACAUAUCCCUUAAGCGCGGUCUAUUCUUCUCCCGCCCUCGAUAUCGCCCCCCUCUCUCUCUCCCUCUCGCGUGCGGGUGUGUCUGCACGCACAGUCUUGCUCAUCAGCCACUUCGCACUUGCUCACCCACUCGACGAAGCACAAGAGGCGACGAUACUUAUCAGCGGUAAGUGCCGCCAUAACCGCCAUCCACAACCUUGAGAAGAAAGAGCAGGGAAAUAUGAUGCGGCGCACGCUGCUCUGGCUCGUGAACUUCGAGCCCGUCUUCAUGCCGGCCCUCUCCCCGUCGAUGGAGACAGGCACGGUGGUCGAAUGGAAGAAGAAGGUUGGCGAGCUCGUGAAGGAGAGCGAGGUCUUCUGCACCAUCCAGACGGACAAGGCGGUAGUGGACUACACGAACACCUUCGAGAGCGGCUACCUCGCCAAGAUAUACUGCGGGAACGGCCAGUCUGCCCCCGUCGCCAAGACGAUUGCUGUGAUGGUGAGCGACGCCGCGGAUGUCAGUAAGGCGGACGAGUACACGCCUGAGGGCGAGGUGCCUGCCGCGGACGCGGAGGCACCCGCCGCUGCUGCUGUUGCCGCUGCGCCGGCCGCUGGUGGUGCCUCCUCUGAGGUGCCGGAAGGCGUCACCUGUGAGCCCGUCUUCAUGCCGGCCCUCUCCCCGUCGAUGGAGACAGGCACGGUGGUCGAAUGGAAGAAGAAGGUUGGCGAGCUCGUGAAGGAGAGCGAGGUCUUCUGCACCAUCCAGACGGACAAGGCGGUAGUGGACUACACGAACACCUUCGAGAGCGGCUACCUCGCCAAGAUAUACUGCGGGAACGGCCAGUCUGCCCCCGUCGCCAAGACGAUUGCUGUGAUGGUGAGCAACGCUGCCGAUGUAGAGAAGGUUGCCAACUACUACCCCGAGGAUGCAGUUGGCGGGCCGCCGGCCUCCGCCGCUGACCCUUCUGCCGCCGCUGCUGCUGCUGCGUCAGCUCGACCGGCUGCAUCGGCCGCGUCUGCCAAGCACUACGGUGGCUCGCUCGAUGCGGCGGUGGCGGCUAGUGGCCCAAGCGUGGCCCGCAUUGCUGCUGGUCUGGAGCCCAGCGCUCUCGCCGGCAUCGCUCCCUCUGGCAAGGGUGGGCGUUUCCUGAAGUCCGACUUUUCUGGUCAACCCGGUUUCGACUACAACGACACCGCGCCGGCGCGAGCGAUGCAGCAGAAGGCGGCCCCCGCCGCUGCCGCUGAUGGGGCGAGUAAGGCGGCUGCAAAGCCUGCUGCCCCGGCGGCGGUAAGCGGGGACAUCUACAACGUUGUUCUCAAGCCCGGCCCUGUGUACAAGAGCGUCAGCGACACGGCCCUGCUGAAGAAGCUCAUGUGCUCCAUGCACAUUCCGAAGCCAAAGUCGAAGAAGGCCGCCGAGUAAGGCGAAGAUGUGCACCGAUGCGCGCGUGUGCGCGAAACGCGUGUCUUCCGCUCAUUCACCAAGGGGUUGGGGGGAGGAGAGGCGGACGCUGAGCAGAAACUCUUCCCGUGUAGCCGACGUCGCCGUGUAGUUCACGCCGUCGGUGCGGGUGUGGUUCAAGUCAGAGACCUCUCGGGAAAGGGAUGGGUGGGGGUGGGGAGGAGGCCGCAGUCACACAAACGGGCGGCUACGCACUUCCUCACAUGCACACACACAGCCACUCGCCCUCUCCUCUCACCAUCUCUCUGUGUACAACGGUGAAGCAGGGAAAAGGCGAGAGGUCGGUGGAGAACGGUGGGGCCGAGCAUGGAGGCUGUGCCUGCACGAUGACGAACACAGGAGUGCAAAGCAGUGGGGUGCGGUGUACAUGUGAAACCGACUAUCUGCCACCCUUUUACCCAAUGGAUGACACUCGCCCGUCCAACCCCAACGAGCUUUCUCCCCUCAAGAAAGAGGCACACCCGAUGUAUGAAGGCGGGCUGUCGAGGCAUCUGGCACGCGACAGCUGCUCCCUACACUGGCACCGUGGCAAUGGACUUGACGCACGCAGAUGUGUGCCGCUGUGCCUUGUUGUGCGUCUCCGAUUCGACAAUGGGCGCCUUCGGCAGGUGUGUGGGGUGACACGCCGCCACCGGCAAGCAGAGCGAGACGAUAUAAAGAUUGUGUGCUGUAUAUCUUUUUUAUUAGACAUACAAGUGCCUGUCGUAAAGCACACCAUCGGCUUUUGCAGUUCACUUUCUCUCUCUGCGUGCGUGCAUGUGUGACAGCCACACAGCACGACCCCCACCCCGUUCCAUGCACGAAGUCCGGCAUGCGCACAACCGUGCAAUCGAGGGACGGCUAAACACAGAAAAUACGAAGAAAGCAAAGCCGAACGGGAAUUUUGAUGCCUUUCACUGUCUGAGCUGUACGGCAGUGGUUGCUGCCAAACGGGUGAGGAGGCGAGCGGAAUGGCGGGCUGCGUGGGUGGAUGGGUGGAGGGGGAGGGGGGGGUGAUGUCGUCGUUGUUGUCCUCAACCGCAUGCGUCUGUGUGCUUACGUGUUUCUGUUUGAACGCGUGCAGGUUUCGGUGUGUCUCUCGACGUGUAAGCUGGCGCCCCUGCGGCAGUGGAGUCGUCGUUGUUGGCUUUCGCUUUCCCGAUGGUUCUCAUGCUUUGUUUCGGGCCCUUGUCGGCACAUGCGUAUGCCGCCCCUUCUCCUCUCCCUUCUCUCGGUUCUCUGUUCGGCGUACCGCAAGUGCAAUACGUGAGCGCACAUUUCUGUGUUCGCGUGGGAGUUGCCCACGGUGUGUUGAUUUCUCUCUAACGCUGAGGGGUUUGACCUGACGAAUGUGUGUGCGCACCCCCUCUCCCUCGUUCUCGUGGCGCUCCUCCACUCCAGACACCCACACGCGCCUACACACGCACACCCGCGGCGUAUACAUCGUUCGCAGUGUCGAUCAGGAUAUCAAACCGCGCAAACGUGAGGUCAGACAGCGCCACGGAGCCCUCUCAAGCCAAGUGAGACGAUGGGGAAGCGCGCCACGGAGGCGGAAGGGCACGCUGACACGCGUGCGCACACAAACACACUGCUAUCAGAGGAUUGCCGUAGCUUCUAGCGACGAAUGGGGUGACCAGCAAGACGUGCACCGCACACAACGAAGCAUCCAUUCUAGCCACCUGCUGCGUGAUUGAUAUGGUGACACAGACACGCUCGCUUCUCUUCGUCCACUCC
rnacentral:misc_RNA from 1 species